CUCCCAGAGAGGUGGUUGUGUGGUUGAGUCCAGAUGAGCAGGGACUUUGUGAGUAAAGACAUAGAGUGGUGGGAUUAUGCAGGCACCUCCAGAGACAAAUCAGUUGGUUCUGCUGUAACAGAGGGCCCAGGCCAAAAGCAGAGCGUAAGACAGGAAAGGCGGCUGUGUCACAGGCCACGGGCGCGGACUGAGCUGGAAGCCAUGGGAAGCCAUGGGGGCUCUUUGGAGCUGGGAGUGCCAGGCCCAGAGCUCUGCUCUGAGAAGAUGAGAAGGCACUGGUGACAGGCGGGCCAUCAUCUACAGGGCUGUUUGCAGUAGUCCCGAUGCGCACUUCUGAGGGCAGAAAAGAAUGGGAAGGCCUGGAAACAUAUAGAAGUCAAAAAGGGUAAAAACAGAAUCCCCAGAACUAAGGAGCCAGAAGGAAAACAAGCAUCUCAGUGUUGCACUGCCUUAAGCCCCUCAAAACAUCAAGAAUAUGUUAACUGUCCCCCUAACAUCUCAUGCCUGUCUCUCAUGCUCAUGCUCUAGGCUUAGGAAAAAUGUGGGCUCCAUGUACCAGCCCCCUCUCCCUGUGGCCAUGCUUUAAUAUUAUGACCCUCACGACUGACAAUUGAGCUCUGGUAAAGAAUUACUCUCAAAAAUCACAUUAUGUUUCAACAACCAGGGCAAAUGCAUCAUCAUGAGGGCAAUGUUCUUUGCACUGAAUAGAAUAAGCUUGCCUUUUAUUAUUAUUUUUUUGUGUCAGCAGUUCUAGUCUACAAAACCAAGAAUGCAUGGAAGAAUCUCUUAUUCUUAGGGAAAUACACACACACACACACACACACACACACACACACACACCACUCUCAGAUCUGUGAGUGAGCCUGAGGCAGGAAGCAGCCCAGUAUCUGAUGUGGAGGGAGUGUGCCUGGCCCACAUGAUGCACCAUCACUGCACAGAACACAGACAGGCCUGGCUUUCAUCAGGAUAAGGAGAAAGCUCAGAGAUAACUCACAGGGGAAGAAAUCUCACUUUCUAUCCAUUCAGUAGAGAGUGAUCACUAGAACAAACUAAAAAAGUAGACUGUGAGACUGUUCGCAUUUCUCCCCUUUCUGUAACUUCUACAAAUAUUUUAAAUCGCGCUGCGAACGACAGGCCGCACAGGCGCUGGGACGGCAUUAUCACCACCGAGCAGUCAUCCCAGUGACUCUCCCUUGUUGUCUGGCCUGCUCUUCGGCCUCCGUUUAGUGGGAACCGGCCUGGAAGGCUGUUGGUUGGCUUGGUGCGUUUCAGAAAUUGGCCUCACUCAGAGCAAGGAGGACUAGUGUUUCUCUUUGAGUGAGGUAACACUUGGGAGGGGUAGGAAUUUGCCACCGGGAUAUGCUGUUGCAAAUCCUGGUGGCUCUACAAGGACUAUCUUCCCUACAAACGCCCUUCCCCUGCUGGACCUGGGACCUGGGACCUGGGCAUACCUACCUGUUUAGAGGUACCUGCUUCCACCAUCUGCAGGGAAGCAGGGGGGUUCUGCUAGUUUCCCUUAUCCAGAGAGAAAGGGAAUGGGAAGACUUGGGAAAGCGGCACUCAGCAUUCAGGAGCACAUUCAGAGCAGUUAAUGUGCUUCUGGGCAAGCCACACAGCUUUGGCUUCCUCGUCUACAAUGGGCACUUGGGAAAUUGUCGUGAGGUUCAGUUUAGGCAGCAGGAAAGCACAUAACCCCAUGCCAAAUGCAAAGUAAGGAACACAGACUUUUUCCUUCUUUGUGUAUCAGUUUCCUCUCCAUUAAACUGAUUAUGACCAACAAGACAACUAUGACCUGCUUUAUUGUCCCGAUGGCAUCCGAACAAGACUCUUUCCAGAGGCUCCUCUAGCACUGACGUUGAAAGGAGAGGGCACCUGGAUGACGAUGGACUGCCGCACGGGUUCUGCACAGUCACCUACUCCUCCACAGACAGAUUUGAGGGGAACUUCGUUCACGGAGAAAAGAAUGGACGUGGGAAAUUCUUCUUCUUUGACGGCAGGUAAAAGGGAAAUGUUACCACACAUUUUCUUCUGUGUCCUCGGGGAUUUUAAAAGUUUGGUCACAUAUGUUUUACGGGAAG